GCUAAGCUUAACUCAACCUUUAGUGGUUGUCUAGAAGACAGCAAUUAGAGGAACUUCUGGGCUGUCAGGCGACUUUUGGUCUUUUAACUGACACUGGACGGCCUCAUGCUAUGCACCCAAGACCCUAUAAGAAAGCAUUGCUUUCCUAUUGGGAAAUCCUAAUGCAAGCGUGACCAUUGCGGCCAGGAGAGAAGGCAGACCCAAUCCAGCGCCGAGGGACAUCUGCGCUGGGCCCAAGUGACAGAAAUGGUCAUUAACCCCUUCUGCACCAAGGGGGGCUGGGGCUGCUUUACUGAGAAGGAAGCUAUAUUGCCAGGAAAAUGUGUUUGUUUUCCUGGCACUAUAGUUGCCCAUUAAGGUUGUUGAAUUGGAAAAAAUUCUUAACAUCAGCUAUCCUGCCAAUUUAGAUACUUUCGCCUGAAAUUUGAAAAUUCACUUUGAAUGCUCACUUUAUUGAAUAGCCCUGUAAGUCUUAACAUACCAGCAUAUAAUUCCUUCAGCGUAAGACAUGUCUCCCCAGUGCCCACGUCUUCUUAAUUUUGCACUGGCAAGGCACCUUCGCCAGCUAUGACAACAACAGAGAAACACACAGCAGGUAUCCAACCAAACAGAACCGCAAAUACACCUUAGGGAAAGUGGGACCUUGUAUGGAUCAGACUCCAGUCCUUCUGCUCAGGUCAAAGAGGACAAUCACUUCCCUUUCACCGUUAAUAAACCCCAAGCUAUGGUAUGGUGGUAAUCACAAGAGGCUAAACUAUCUCUGUGUGGUCUGUGGCAGAGACAGCUUUAACACCUUCACUUGCAGUCCCACACAGUCUAAUAGUGACACGUAGGACACGAUACUAGACACUGAGGAUAAUGCAAUGAGAGAAUGGAUGGCUGACACAUUACCGUCACAGUGAAAAGAGAAAUGAGAGUGUGGAAGAGAAUGCAAUAAACAGAUUAGAAAGAAGCCCACAGACCAUUCAACGAAAGGUCCUGACGAAACAUCAAUAAAAUGUUCCCUGUGUGUUGCUCUCAAGUAACUGUGUGGCCGAUCUGCACAGUUGAAAAUCAGCAAUAUAUUUCUCAAACGAUGACCAAAC